GUGCUCGCUUCAGGAGCACAUAUACUAAAAUUGGAACGAUACAGAGAAGAUUAGUAUGGCCCUUGUGCAAGGAUGACACACAAAUUUGUGAAGCCUUCCAUAUUUUG
rnacentral:snRNA from 1 species